rfam:Gammaproteobacteria bacterium GWE2_42_36 gwe2_scaffold_1745, whole genome shotgun sequence.
GGGCCUAUAGCUCAGUUGGUUAGAGCAGCGGACUCAUAAUCCGUUGGUCCUAGGUUCAAGUCCUAGUGGGCCCA